UAGGGAAUCUUCCGCAAUGGGCGAAAGCCUGACGGAGCAACGCCGCGUGAGUGAUGAAGGUCUUCGGAUCGUAAAACUCUGUUAUUAGGGAAGAACAAAUGUGUAAGUAACUGUGCACGUCUUGACGGUACCUAAUCAGAAAGCCACGGCUAACUACGUGCCAGCAGCCGCGGUAAUACGUAGGUGGCAAGCGUUAUCCGGAAUUAUUGGGCGUAAAGCGCGCGUAGGCGGUUUCUUAAGUCUGAUGUGAAAGCCCACGGCUCAACCGUGGAGGGUCAUUGGAAACUGGGAAACUUGAGUGCAGAAGAGGAAAGUGGAAUUCCAUGUGUAGCGGUGAAAUGCGCAGAGAUAUGGAGGAACACCAGUGGCGAAGGCGACUUUCUGGUCUGUAACUGACGCUGAUGUGCGAAAGCGUGGGGAUCAAACAGGAUUAGAUACCCUGGUAGUCCACGCCGUAAACGAUGAGUGCUAAGUGUUA
rnacentral:rRNA from 1 species